rnacentral:misc_RNA from 1 species
UUGAUUGAUUUUUUUGUUUCGUUUCUCAGACUGCAAAAAGGCGUUAAACACCACGAGUUUGGUAAAACUCUCGGCGGGAAUCCAGGCACGCGAGGCGAACAGAAGUCCACCCCACCUCCCAUCCCCCGCCGAGGCAACGGGUUCAUCGUACGCAAAGGGUGGAGGGCGUCCCCAAAGGAGACGCGUCUCGGUAAUGAUCCUUCCGCAGGUUCACCUACGGAAA